GGCUCAGGACGAACGCUGGCGGCGUGCUUAACACAUGCAAGUCGAGCGGAAAGGCCCUUCGGGGUACUCGAGCGGCGAACGGGUGAGUAACACGUGAGCAACCUGCCCUAGGCUUUGGGAUAACCCCGGGAAACCGGGGCUAAUACCGAAUAUGACUUCUGGUCGCAUGACCGGUGGUGGAAAGUUUUUCGGCCUGGGAUGGGCUCGCGGCCUAUCAGCUUGUUGGUGGGGUGAUGGCCUACCAAGGCGACGACGGGUAGCCGGCCUGAGAGGGCGACCGGCCACACUGGGACUGAGACACGGCCCAGACUCCUACGGGAGGCAGCAGUGGGGAAUAUUGCACAAUGGGCGGAAGCCUGAUGCAGCGACGCCGCGUGAGGGAUGACGGCCUUCGGGUUGUAAACCUCUUUCAGCAGGGACGAAGCGUAAGUGACGGUACCUGCAGAAGAAGCGCCGGCCAACUACGUGCCAGCAGCCGCGGUAAGACGUAGGGCGCGAGCGUUGUCCGGAUUUAUUGGGCGUAAAGAGCUCGUAGGCGGCUUGUCGCGUCGACUGUGAAAACCCGCAGCUCAACUGCGGGCCUGCAGUCGAUACGGGCAGGCUAGAGUUCGGUAGGGGAGACUGGAAUUCCUGGUGUAGCGGUGAAAUGCGCAGAUAUCAGGAGGAACACCGGUGGCGAAGGCGGGUCUCUGGGCCGAUACUGACGCUGAGAC
rnacentral:rRNA from 1 species